GCUGUGAGCAGCUGGGCUCAGGCUGCUAGGAAGCCUAGCCUCAGAAUAUCCCAAAUGCAGCCUCCGCCUACUCUCUCCUGGCUCAUUGAGAUCAGAAGGAUGAAUUGGCUUGCCAUCCAGCUAUGUCAAGCUACAUGAAGGACCCACCCACCUGGCAGGCCUGGAGACCCUGACAGCUUUCUUUCUUCACCUGCGCCUGGCAGCAGUGACACAGGUAGCUUGAGAUGGAAUUGGUCCACAGCCACCCACUAGAUUUCUGGGAAGAGGAAGAGAUGGCAACAUGGGCGAUCCCAGAAGAGUCUGGACGUGUCCUGGAGUCCUGGUUCAAAGUUCCGGCACCUUCCCAGCCAGGUCAAGGAUGACAUCAAGCUGGAGGAAGCUGGAAGCAGCUGGUCACACCACAUUUCCAACAGGAAGCAGAGAGAGAUGAAUAUACUGCUGCCCUAUUGCACAGCCCAGGAUCCUAGCCAGGGGAUGACGCCACCCACAGUGGGUGAUCUUCCCACUUCAACACAAUCACAAUCUUCUCCCAUAGACAUACUAAGAGGUCUGGCUCCCAGGUGAUUCCAGAUUUUUGUCAAGCUGACAACACAAAGGAGCUCACUCUGGGACAUGUGGGGACAUUUCACAGGUGGUGAACAACCAACAACCAGAAGAGAAUUUGCCCAGACAAGAGGUCUUGGAAGAGACAUGCCUAGGGAACCUGUUCGCAGGCAGUGGGCCAGCUACAGGGCCCUCAAGCUCUGACUGUGGGUCCAGUGCUUUAUCCAUGAGGGUGCACCAACUCCUAAUAGUCAAGAAAGAGAAAUGGGCAGGUAUAACAAUGGUGGCUUAGCCCUAGGCUCAUUUGCUCAGAGAGGUGGGAAGGUUAGACCGGUCGGAAGGACAGGUCUGGCAGGUCAUCUGAAUCAUACUUAAGGACAACUGAGUGCACCAUGCCAAAUAGUAUAGGUUUUUUCCCCCAUAUCCAGAUCCUGGGCGCCCCUCGAGAGUUCUGGGAUGGAGGCCACUGCGCAAGCACAAAUGACUGAUUGCCUGUGCAGGACGCUAGGCUAAUGAGCCUGAGGUCGCUGCAGGGAUGGAUAUCCAUCCAAUCGGCGCAUAUUAAAACCCUCCUAAUCAUUUUUGCUAGCUGGCUCCCUAAUGUGAUCCGGUGAUGUGCCUGGGUUUAAAUUCUCAUUACCCAUUUCCACCCACAGGUAACAGGUCUCGCUCAUUCACUGUGGGCAAUUUCCUGCCCCAUUACCUGUGAAAAUCAGAGAGCAGCCGGGGCCGUUAGGAGAGCAAAAGAGCCCAUUUCCUCCUCUUAAAAAGCACAGUAAAGCAGGAGCCCUGGGUCUUUGUAAAUCUGUGUGCCAGUCCACCCAGGGUCCGGUGUUAUGCUGUGCCCAUCAGAAGUGAGCAAGCACUCUAACUCAUUCUUGCUUGCCACAGACCCUGGGAAUCACACCACCCAAGCGUAAGCACAGCCCUUCCCAUGGAGUCUGCUUUCAGGACCCUUACUCACCUCCCAGGUCUCUGCAAGCAGUGACAACAGAGAUGAUCUGCUUCCUGCAGAAAGCUAGGGGACACUAGUUUCUGACUACACCUCCCUGUCAUGGCCAUCUGCCCACGUUCUCAUUUCUUCUGAAACAGUGGCUCUCAACCCUCCUAAAUGCUGCGACCCUUUAAUACUGUUUCUCAUAUUGUGGUGACACCCCCCCUCCAGCUGUAAAGUUAUUUUGUUGCUUCUUCAUAACUAUAAUGUUGAUAAUGUUAUGAAUUAUAAUGUAAAUAUCUGAUAUGCAGGAUGUCUGAUUUAUGGGACCCCCCCCCAAAAAAAACGUGAUUGGGACCCACAGGUUGAGAAUCGCUGCUCUAAAAGCAGCUUUGAAAGGGCAGAGUUUGCAUCUGCUAAGGUCACCUAUCGCUGUAUAACAAUUUAUCCCUAAAGCAUAGCAGCUUAAAGCAAUAGUUAAGGGCUAGAGAUAUGUGCCAGUGUCAGAGCAUUGGCUUACCAUGCACAUAGCCCUGAGCUCAACUCUCACCAGCAAAAACAAGCACAAAGAACCAGUAAGGCAGAACUCAUCACCCACAGACUUCCCACCAUUGUGAUUAUUGGAGGCAGCUGUGUGCCGGCCACAUGUGGGCAUGACACUGCGCCUACCUGUGUGGCACAUACAGUACUUUCUUCAGUGACCUGUGUUAAAACUGGUCCACAAAGCUGAAGCUGUGAGUCACUCAGCAUGGUGCCCGUCAAAAGUAGCUGAGCUGUUCCAAGUGUUUCGGGUCCAGGUGUCACGCAGGCUUCUAUUCUCUGAGGCUUGACCGAACCUUAGGAUUUACCUAAGAUGGCGUUUACACAGCUGGCAAUUGGUGCUGGCUUUGGCAGAAGGACUCAGUUCAUAAAGCAUACUCUCCAGACAGCUUGACUAUUGUCACUACAUGGUGACUAGCUUCUCUCCCACAACCACUGAUCCAGAGAACUGGAACUAAAGCAGCUAUGUCUCAUGUGAAUGACCCUUGGAAGUCACCCCAACCUUCUUUCACUUACAAAAGUCAGGGUGCUCAGUGGGUGAAGACUGUAGGUAGGGCCCAUCCUGAAGGCUGUCUACCUGAAAACCCUGUAUCCUUCCCACCACCAGGGGCACAUCACCUUCAGUAUGUCUCCAGGAAAGGAGGGAGAAUCCCUGAGUAAACCUCUCUUGCUUCUUUAAUUCCAGGGCCCUAGGACAGGUGUUAUCUUUUGCUGGAGAGGAAGGUUCGGGAAAUGGCUUCUUCAAGACGUAGAAGUGAGCAGGUUGCUGAUCAGAGUUAAGACUCAAGAGACUGAGUAUGUAGCUCAAUAAUAGAAUACU
rnacentral:lncRNA from 1 species